GGUAACACAAAUGGCGCCUAUGCGGCGCUGGAUCAUAUUACUACUAUUCGCCGUGCUGCUCGUCUCACAAUCUGUAUCCCAAUCCGAACCGACAAAAGACAAAAAGCAAGGCAGAAAAGUGUCCGAACUGGGACCCUCCUACAUGCGAAAACGUACCCAAUUCCCGUCCAUCUUCAUUCGACCGUACCGACCAACACUCGCGUUGCUGCUAGUUUCGUGACCACCGCCGCCCAUAAUUUUUUUUGUCCCUUCUUCAAAUUUCCCGCUCCCUAAUGUGUCAAGAAUGGUAACCUCUCUCCACAAAAAAUGAUGAUUUCCCAAGAAAUUUGCCCGUUUUUCCCCCACUUGAUCAAUCAAUAAAUCUAGUGAUACAGUU
ensembl:ncRNA W05G11.8 ncRNA